rnacentral:rRNA from 1 species
UACAGGGGGGGCAAGCGUUGUCCGGAAUUACUGGGCGUACAGCGCGCGCAGGCGGUCCACUACGUGCCGUGUGACAGCCGUCGGCUUAACCGACGGAGGCCAGGGUACACGGGUGAACUUGAGGCAGAGAGAGGGAUGUGGAAUACCCGGUGGAGCGGUGAAAUGCGUAGAGAUCGGGUGGAACACCAGGGGCGAAGGCGGCAUCCUGGCUCUGUUACUGACGCUGAGGCGCGAGAGCGUGGGGAGCAAACCGG